rnacentral:rRNA from 1 species
CUACGGGUCGCAGCAGUGAGGAGUUUUGCGCAAUGGGGGCAACCCUGACGCCGCCACGCCGCGUGAGCGAAGAAGGCCUUCGGGUCGUAAAGCUCUGUCAAGUGGGAAAAACGUUUUCCGGUCAAUAGCCGGGAGAUCUGAUGGUACCGCUGAAGGAAGCACCGGCUAACUCCGUGCCAGCAGCCGCGGUAAUACGGAGGGUGCAAGCGUUGUUCGGAAUUAUUGGGCGUAAAGAGCGUGUAGGCGGUUUGGUAAGUCAGAUGUGAAAGCCCCGGGCUCAACCUGGGAAGUGCAUUUGAAACUGCUUUACUUGAGUGUGGGAGAGGAGAGGGGAAUUCCUGGUGUAGAGGUGAAAUGCGUAGAUAUCAGGAGGAACAUCUGUGGCGAAGGCGACUCUCUGGACCAAUACUGACGCUGAGACGCGAAAGCGUGGGUAGCAAACAGGAUUAGAUACCCCCGUAGUC